ACCCAUUAAAAUUAUGUUGUGUUAACAUAAAUUAUUCUACUAAAUUUUAAGUCGUUGCAUGUUGUGCUAAAACUACAUGAUUUAAAACUGUUCAGCUACAAAACAUGAUUUUAUGUAAUAGAAGCUACAUGUUAGACUUAGGAUAAUAUAACAGACACCCAGUCUGCUUUUUUUGUGUAACACUGAAAUGAGAAUCACUGCGAUAUUAAAUAUUCAUGAACCAUGGUGUGGUCAACGUUCCUUGGGUGACUAUAUAAAAUGCCUUUGAUCUCCUACUUUCAUUUUCACAACCGUCUGUAAAAACUGUGGUGUCGAAGACCGUUUGGAAAAGGUCUGGAUGUUGGUGUUUGGAAAAUGGGAAGUGGAAAAAGUACCCCAGUGACAGUGGAGAAAAAACCAGAGCUCCUUGAUAAAGCUUGGAGGAAUGUUGUGUGGGACCAUAGCACACGAACCGAUCUCAUGCAAUACCUGCAAGAUUACAAGCCCACUAUUGAUUCAGUGCCUCAGGCUCGGAUUCUUCUAAUUGGUCAGAUUAAAGCUGGAAAAUCAAGCUUCUUCAACUCCAUCAAUUCUAUCUUCCAUGGCAACAUUACAAACCAAGCAGGAGCAGGAGAAAUGGAAACCAGCAUGACU